rnacentral:rRNA from 1 species
UACGUAGGGUGCAAGCGUUAAUCGGAAUUACUGGGCGUAAAGCGUGCGCAGGCGGUUAUGUAAGACAGGGGUGAGAUCCCCGGGCUUAACCUGGGAACUGCAUUUGUGACUGCAUAGCUAGAGUACGGUAGAGGGGGAUGGAAUUCCGCGUGUAGCAGUGAAAUGCGUAGAUAUGCGGAGGAACACCGAUGGCGAAGGCAAUCCCCUGGACCUGUACUGACGCUCAUGCACGAAAGCGUGGGGAGCAAACAGG